rnacentral:rRNA from 1 species
AUUGAACGCUGGCGGCAGGCCUAACACAUGCAAGUCGAGCGGCAGCGGAAAAGUAGCUUGCUACUUUUGCCGGCGAGCGGCGGACGGGUGAGUAAUGCCUGGGGAUCUGCCCAGUCGAGGGGGAUAACUACUGGAAACGGUAGCUAAUACCGCAUACGCCCUACGGGGGAGUGCAGGGGACCUUCGGGCCUUGCGCGAUUGGAUGGACCCGGGUGGGAUUAGCUAGUUGGUGAGGUAAUAGCUCACCAAGGCGACGAUCCCUAGCUGGUCUGAGAGGAUGAUCAGCCACACUGGAACUGAGACACGGUCCAGACUCCUACGGGAGGCAGCAGUGGGGAAUAUUGCACAAUGGAGGGAACCCUGAUGCAGCCAUGCCGCGUGUGUGAAGAAGGCCUUCGGGUUGUAAAGCACGUUCAGCGAGGAGGGAAGGUCAGUAGCUAAUAUCUGCUGGCUGUGACGUUACUCGCAGAAGAAGCACCGGCUAACUCCGUGCCAGCCGCCGCGGUAA